AUUGAACGCUGGCGGCAGGCCUAACACAUGCAAGUCGAGCGGAUGAAGGGAGCUUGCUCCUGGAUUCAGCGGCGGACGGGUGAGUAAUGCCUAGGAAUCUGCCUGGUAGUGGGGGAUAACGUCCGGAAACGGGCGCUAAUACCGCAUACGUCCUGAGGGAGAAAGUGGGGGAUCUUCGGACCUCACGCUAUCAGAUGAGCCUAGGUCGGAUUAGCUAGUUGGUGGGGUAAAGGCCUACCAAGGCGACGAUCCGUAACUGGUCUGAGAGGAUGAUCAGUCACAUGGGAAGUGAGACACGGUCCAGACUCCUACGAGAGGCAGCAGUGGGGAAUAUUGGACAAUGGGCGAAAGCCUGAUCCAGCCAUGCCGCGUGUGUGAAGAAGGUCUUCGGAUUGUAAAGCACUUUAAGUUGGUAGGAAGGGCAGUAGGUUAAUACCUUGCUGUUUUGACGUUACCAACAGAAUAAGCACCGGCUAACUUCGUG
rnacentral:rRNA from 1 species